rnacentral:misc_RNA from 1 species
GAAAUGCGAUAAGUAAUGUGAAUUGCAGAAUUCAGUGAAUCAUCGAAUCUUUGAACGCUCAUUGCGCCCCCUGGUAUUCCGGGGGGCAUGCCUGUUCGAGCGUCAUUUCACCACUCAAGCCUCGCUUGGUAUUGGGCGACGCGGUCCGCCGCGCGCCUCAAAUCGACCGGCUGGGUCUUUCGUCCCCUCAGCGUUGUGGAAACUAUUCGCUAAAGGGUGCCGCGGGAGGCCACGCCGUAAAACAACCCCAUUUCUAAGGUUGACCUCGGAUCAGGUAGGGAUACCCGCUGAACUUAAGC